rnacentral:rRNA from 1 species
CCUACGGGAGGCAGCAGUGAGGAAUCUUGGUCAAUGGACGAGAGUCUGAACCAGCCAAGUAGCGUGAAGGAUGACUGCUCUAUGGGUUGUAAACUUCUUUUAUAUGGGAAUAAAAUGUUCCACGUGUGGGAUUUUGUAUGUACACUAUUAAUAAGGUUCGGCCAACUCCGGGCCAGCAGCCGCGGGAAUACGGAGGAUCCGAGCGUUAUCCGGAUUUAUUGGGUUUAAAGGGAGCGUAGGUGGAUUGUUAAGUUAGUUGUGAAAGUUUGCGGCUCAACCGUAAAAUUGCAGAUGAAACUGGCAGUCUUGAGUACAGUAGAGGUGAGCGGAAUUCGUGGGGUAGCGGUGAAAUGCGUAGAUAUCACGAAGAACUCCGAUUGCGAAGGCAGCUCACUGGACUGCAACUGACACUGAGGCACGAAAGUGUGGGUAGCGAAAGGGAUUAGAUACCCGGGUAGUC